CCUACGGGAGGCAGCAGUGGGGAAUAUUGCACAAUGGGCGAAAGCCUGAUGCAGCAACGCCGCGUGAGGGACGACGGCCUUCGGGUUGUAAACCUCUUUUAGUAGGGAAGAAGCGAAAGUGACGGUACCUGCAGAAAAAGCACCGGCUAACUACGUGCCAGCAGCCGCGGUAAUACGUAGGGUGCAAGCGUUAUCCGGAAUUAUUGGGCGUAAAGAGCUCGUAGGCGGUUUGUCGCGUCUGCUGUGAAAACUGGAGGCUCAACCUCCAGCCUGCAGUGGGUACGGGCAGACUAGAGUGCGGUAGGGGAGAUUGGAAUUCCUGGUGUAGCGGUGGAAUGCGCAGAUAUCAGGAGGAACACCGAUGGCGAAGGCAGAUCUCUGGGCCGUAACUGACGCUGAGGAGCGAAAGCAUGGGGAGCGGAACAGGAUUAGGAUACCCUGGUAGUCCAUGCCGUAAACGUUGGGAACUAGAUGUAGGGACCAUUCCACGGUUUCUGUGUCGCAGCUAACGCAUUAAGUUCCCCGCCUGGGGAUACGGCCGCAGGCUAAACUCAAAGGAUUGACGG
rnacentral:rRNA from 1 species